rnacentral:lncRNA from 1 species
UUCCGAAGAGCAGAGCUUUCUAGACUAGGUCACUGUGCUAUUCUCCUCAUGAUACAGGUUAACACAAGAGUUGAAUAUAGACUCUCAUUAGAAAAUAUGUAACAUUUCAAAUGCUACAAUUAAACACAGUACAAAUCUGUUCAAAAGGCCAGGAGAUGAUUAACUUUCUCUCUCACUUAUUCUCAAGCUGGAUGCAAAUCAGCGUCUUCCAAGACGAGGCAAGUGAAUAUCCCAGUAAAUUGGCAAUACAAUUUAGAUGGCAGGCAAGGAUCUCAAAGAUAAAUGACUUAAACAAAGAAGGGAAAGAUGAACCUGUCACUUCUUCUCAACUCAUCAAGCUGUCUCGCAGAGAAAGUUGAUGAUCCUGGAGCAGAAAUGUUUCUGCCAUCCCCUGAAGGUGAAGGCUCACCCGGCAAUUCUUCAAUCUGCACGUGAGGCUCCUCAACACUCUUCCACGCCAGGCAAAGCUACGGGACUUCCCUCUUCCAUCCACGUUUUUUUUAAAAGGCCCAAAUUUGGGGUUACAAAGUAAACUAACACAAUUUGUCAGUGGAAUGAAAGAAAGACCUAAGAUAAGUGCAGAUAAACAUGGUGGUAUCAAAGGAAUACGAUAAACUAUGAAGACAGAAUACAGAAAAAGUGACUGGCAAAGGAUUUUAAAACAUACAAAGAGAAAAAGGUACCACCAACAACAUGAUAGCGUGCCAGACUGAUUAUGCCAAAUUAUUCCAGCUAAAGAAACUACACAAAAUUUUAAAGAAAAAUGGAUUAUGCUAAAUUAUUCCAGCUAAAGAAACUAUACAAAAUUUUAAAGAAAAAUAGAUUAUGCUAAAUUAUUCCAGGUAAGAAACUACACAAAAUUAUAAAGAAAAAAAGAUGAGAAGAUCAAGAUAAAUGAGGAACAGGAGACGCAAGAGUUCUAAAGAAGGGAAAAUGUAAGACGUAAAGGCCAAAAGUCGAUUUUGAAAUCAGGAACCUUGAGACAGAUCCAGUUAAGUGCAAUAAUUGGUUUUCUUUUUAAAAAAUUAACACAGUUUGAUUAAUAUAGGCUUAACAACUUAUCAGGUCUAAUUUGCUUCCUAUUUUUAGAUAUGAACACCAACAGAAGAAGGAGUUUAGAAACUUCUGUAAUCUUUCCAUUUCUCACAGGCACACUCUCCUUCGGAUAGCUUCUCACUUUUAAGAAAAAUGGAUGUAUCUACCACAACUGAAGCUGUUUUCCUAUUUCCAGAAAUAAUUAUCCUUACAACAAUCUACAUAAAAAAGACAUUUUCUUCUUAAAGUGGGGGAGAGAAGAUGUCUUGGUUGGAACCUGAGAGAAUUAUUCGUCUCCUCCCUGCUCUGUUAAUAAUGAGCCAGCAGCGGUGGCCCUGUGCACGGGAAGAAGUGACAGUGACACACAGGUUGAAUUAUACAAUGUAUUGUGAUGCAAUUAGGAAGAAGGAUGAGAUGACAAAACAGAUUUCCACUUGGUCUUCAACAGGGCUUUGUGCAUUAAGUCAUUGUAAUACUCUCCCCAGCACCCAUCCAUUAUUAUUACUUAACCAGCAUUACCUCCCAGAAACCUACCUUUUCUGAUACGUGAAGUUCCUCUGGGGAAGUUUUGCCCUUUGUGAUGUUAUAGUAACAUUACCCACAAACUUAGGAGAUGCAUGAUGAAUUUGAGGGUCCACAUAAACAUUUUUAAAACGAUCUAAAUUCUAUAUGAUUAACAUAUAAACCAGGUAAAUUUUUUUUGCAUAGGCCAUGGCUACUGAAGAGUUAAGUAUAUAGCAGAGAGAAACUUUUCAUGGUUUUUUUUUUUUUUUUUUGCUUUAAUAAGAAAUUAAGUUUAUCAAUUGCCAUUGUAAUCGCUCACAGCACCUCAGGUAAUUAAAAGGGAUCUAAACCUAAUUUUAUUUACAUUUAGAAUACCUGAGGCCAUCUCCGAUCAAGAUUUCACAUUUGUGACUAAUAAUGUUAAGUGUUAAUUAGAGUUCAGCAGAGAAUACUGAUUGAUUUUGAAUCUGUAAUCUGCUGUGAUUUAGGAAUAGUGAGGAAGUCAAAGUAUUCUUUUCUGUUACCGCAGUUUCUAUGCAUUAGUGAAAUUCUUCAAAGAAUCAUGUAUGCCUUUUAAUUCUGGCAGGAUUCAUUUUUGUAAAAAUUGUGGCUCCUCAUUAUACUGUACACUUCUACUUGUGAGAAAGCACAUCACAUUAAAUUAGGUUUAUCUGGACCCAUCUUAAUGUACGAGACCUACAAUGACAUUUUUAAUGUAGUAACAAUUUUUUUGAUUUCCCCCUAUAUUUUAUUAACACAUUUUUUAAGCAUACAAAAAAAAUUUGAAAGCGAACACCUCCUUCCACUCCGGCUACAUUUUAUAAUUGUAACAUGUUGCUACAUACUUGCUUUAUUAUAUAUCUAUCCACCCAUCCAUCCGUCCGUCCAUCCGUCCGUCCGUCCGUCCAUUUCAUUUUCUGAUGCAAUUCAACUACGGUGCAGGCAUCAGUUCACUCCCACACAUUUCAACAUGCACGUGAUUAACUAUUAGGUUCUUUUUUUGAGAUUAAAUGUACAUACUGUGAAAUGCAAAACAUCUUAGUUGUACCGGUCCAUGAAUGUUGACAGAUGCCGUGUAACCCAAGCCACGAUGAAAAUAUCCCCCUGAGGAGUUCCUCUGGGCCACCCCCAACCCCAACCAAUCCCUCCUUCUCACUUCCUGGCAACCAUUCUUCCGAUUUCUUUCAUCACCAAUCAGUUUGCCCGUUGUAGAACUUCAUAUAAAUGGAAUCAUUCUUUUCUGUGCGUGCCUCUUUCCACAGAGCAUAAUGUUUUGUGGGUACGUCCAUAAAAACAAGUUUUCAAACCACAUCUCUGGCAUAACAAGAUACUAGAAUCCUGUGAUGACAGGGACGUCACAAGGUCUUUUUCUCUCCACAGUGACACACAGCAGUCCGUCCUCUGCUUCCUAACAGGACUCUAUGAGAACAUGGUGAUGUCCUACCACAAAGAAAGCAACACCUGAUUAUCAAUAACUUCUCUGGUCCGGCCAAGGAUGAGCAAGGAACAAAGAGCUUUUAGAACAUUAAGCAUACAUCUAAAUUUAUUUGACCUGAGGAUCCAGCCUGGCCUCUCAAGAGCAGACGCUCACAUGAUAAAACGUGCUGGGAACUCACCAUGUACUCAGCAAAGGGAAGCAAAGGGGUAUUAAUCAAUGUUUUGAUUAAUUACACGUACAUAGAAUUUAAGACAAAGUAAAGGCUCUUCCAUCCCCGCAAGUCCCCAGAGAAAAUUUAUAACAGCAAAGUAUCAUCAUUACUAAAUUAGAGCGUGACCAGAGGGGGAAAAAAAGUUGGCUGAAUGGACCAGCAGGUGAGAUGAAGAGUUGAUUGUCUUCAAACGUAAAAUAUCUCAAGCAAGAAAAGAAGAAAAAAGUCUCUUCAAUAAAUGUUGGCAAUAUUUUCGAGAUUUUUUUCUUUUUUUGGUGCAAGGACAGUAAAGGAAAACAAAGGGCACUCAACUAAUUAGAAGAUAAACUGUGAUUCUCCGAAGAAAACCAGCCCCCAUCUCAGGAAACUUCCAUAGGAGAGGACAUGACUCACCAGUCCAUUCCCAGGUCCAACCACUGUUUCUAAUGAAUGAACUGGCGCUAUUAUUUAAAAGGAUCAGAAUCUAUAGUGAGGUAGUAGAACAGAGUAUGGGGGCAGGGAACCUAAGGCCGAUUCACGCUGACUUCCUAGAACUAAAUCGAACGAAAACCCCAACUUUCCACACCUAAGUAACAAAAGGACCUGAGGCUGCUCCCUUUGCAACCCCCUCCCUGCCUUUUCUGCAAGGCAGAUGGAAAACUGAAAGUGCCUCCACCUGGUUGCUUUCUGCAACCAAUCAAUCAGACAUUUGCAUAGGAGUGUAACUUUGUAACUUUGCUUCAGCCUUUGAUUGGUUGCUUUCCACAACCAAUCAGACUGACCGUAGGCCAAAUCUUCAUUUGCAUAGAAGUGUAACCUUUGUAACCUCACUUCCACCUUGGAUUGGUUGCUUUCUGCAACAAAUCAGACUGACUGGGGGCCAUGACUUCAUUUGCAUGGGGUGUACACCAAAUGGCCAAUGGGAAACCUCUAGAGGAUAUUUAAACCCCAGAAAAUUCUGUUACUGGGUUCUUGAGCCCCUAUGCUCCGGCUGCUCCCACCCUGUGGAGUG